rnacentral:tRNA from 1 species
GGAGAGGUCGCAUAGUUGGUAUUGCACCGGUCUCGAAAACCGGCGGGAGCUUGCUCCUUUGUGGGUUCGAAUCCCACCCUCUCCGCCA